UGCUGNGAAAGGCUGGGGCUUAACCCUGGUUUUGCAGUGGGUACGGGNUAACUAGAGUGCAGUAGGGGAGACUGGAAUUCCUGGUGUAGCGGUGGAAUGCGCAGAUAUCAGGAGGAACACCGAUGGCGAAGGCAGGUCUCUGGGCUGUAACUGACGCUGAGAAGCGAAAGCAUGGGGAGCGAACAGGAUUAGAUACCCUGGUAGUNCAUGCCGUAAACGUUGGGCACUAGGUGUGGGGGACAUUNCACGUUUUCCGCGCCGUAGCUAACGCAUUAAGUGCCCCGCCUGGGGAGUACGGCCGCAAGGCUAAAACUCAAAGAAAUUGACGGGGGCCCGCACAAGCGGCGGAGCAUGCGGAUUAAUUCGAUGCAACGCGAAGAACCUUACCAAGGCUUGACAUAUACUGGACUGCGUCAGAGAUGGCGUUUCCCUUCGGGGCUGGUAUACAGGUGGUGCAUGGUUGUCGUCAGCUCGUGUCGUGAGAUGUUGGGUUAAGUCCCGCAACGAGCGCAACCCUCGUUCUAUGUUGCCAGCACGUGAUGGUGGGGACUCAUAGGAGACUGCCGGGGUCAACUCGGAGGAAGGUGGGGAUGACGUCAAAUCAUCAUGCCCCUUAUGUCUUGGGCUUCACGCAUGCUACAAUGGCCGGUACAGAGGGUUGCGAUACUGUGAGGUGGAGCUAAUCCCUAAAAGCCGGUCUCAGUUCGGAUUGGGGUCUGCAACUCGACCCCAUGAAGUCGGAGUCGCUAGUAAUCGCAGAUCAGCAACGCUGCGGUGAAUACGUUCCCGGGCCUUGUACACACCGCCCGUCAAGUCACGAAAGUUGGUAACACCCGAAGCCGGUGGCCUAACCCUGGUGGGGGGAGCC
rnacentral:rRNA from 1 species